rnacentral:rRNA from 1 species
UACGUAGGGGGCAAGCGUUGUCCGGAUUUAUUGGGCGUAAAGAGCGCGUAGGUGGCGCGAUACGACCGGUGUGAAAUCCUCCGGCUCAACUGGAGGGGGUCACUGGUAACGGUCGUGCUUAUGAGUGCAGGAGAGGGACGUGGAACUCCGGGAGUAGCGGUGAAAUGCGUAGAGACCCGGAGGAACACCAGUGGCGAAGGCGGCGUCCUGGCCUGCGACUGACGCUGUGGCGCGAAAGCUAGGGGAGCGAACGGG